UGGGGAAUUUUGGACAAUGGGGGCAACCCUGAUCCAGCAAUGCCGCGUGAGUGAAGAAGGCCUUCGGGUUGUAAAGCUCUUCUGUCCGGGAAGAAAUCCCAUUGCCUAAUACGUGGUGGGGAUGACGGUACUGGAAGAAUAAGCACCGUCUAACUACGUGCCAGCAGCCGCGGUAAUACGUAGGGUGCAAGCGUUAAUCGGAAUUACUGGGCGUAAAGCGUGCGCAGGCGGUUGUGCAAGACCGAUGUGAAAGCCCCGGGCUUAACCUGGGAACGGCAUUGGUGACUGCACGGCUAGAGUGUGUCAGAGGGGGGUAGAAUUCCACGUGUAGCAGUGAAAUGCGUAGAGAUGUGGAGGAAUACCGAUGGCGAAGGCAGCCCCCUGGGAUGACACUGACGCUCAUGCACGAAAGCGUGGGGAGCAAAC
rnacentral:rRNA from 1 species